UUCAAUGAGAGUUUGAUCCUGGCUCAGGACGAACGCUGGCGGCGUGCCUAAUACAUGCAAGUCGAGCGAAUGGAUGGGAGCUUGCUCCC
rnacentral:rRNA from 1 species